CUGUUAUGUGAUGAUCUAGUCUUUGCAUUUACAUUUACAUUUCUAGAAUAGGCAUACAAUUAGGAGAUUCAUUUGUUCAUUGUUUUCAUAUAUUGAGCACUAGAUUUCUUUAAUUUGCAUAUCCAGAUUCAUUGGUUUCGGAUUCAUUUUAAUUGCAUAGAUUUUGUUACUGUUUCUAUCUUAGGUAGUUUAGAUUUCUAUAUAGUUUUACUUUCCUUUUAUUUCAUAUUAUUUCUUAUUCAAAAGUAGAUUUUAGUUUUAAUUUUUUUCCUUUUUAGUUAAAUUUCUUUGUCCCCACCUGUUUAGUAAAUAAAUAAAAUACAAGAACUAACCUUACAUUCUUAAAACUUAAUUUUGUCGAGUUUGCGGAUUGAUCCCUUGGUUGCCCUAUACUACAUUAGUGGGGACUAGGGUUUGUUGACUUUUUGUGCGACCAAAAACCCUUUCAACACUAAACCCUAGUCCACUUCUCCAUUUCUUUUUAACAUAAACCCAUUCUCCUACUACAUUCCCGUGCAUGUUCCUUCCUAUCUUUUUCUUUCUUUUAUCCCUCACGAUGCUCAUUACUAAACCCUCCAUACAUAUUUACUCACACCACCCAACCCGAGGCAUUCACCGUUUUAUUCACAUACUCUCACACACGUCGAACCCACCUCUCUUAUCUCUCGUCUGCAUCAUCAACACCUUAUAUUGCUUUUAUUCUUAUAAUCUCUAUUACAUAACUUCAACGCCCUAGACCUAAUACUACUCUUUUCUAUCCUAUUCCUUUUAUUUUUAUUUACUUAAUAAGUCGUUCUAGUCAGCUUUGGUUUACCUGAUGGAGAAUCAUGCUACCAACUUGCAGUAUGAAGACAGUCCCAACCAUUAAUUCAAAGAAACACCUUCACUCGCAAGGUUCACUAGUGCACUUUGAACAUUCACAAGGUACCAUGCCUUUCAUGCAUGCCAUCAUCAACACAAAAGAGUAGGAGAAAUAUAAACGAACACACCAUAUACUCUUUACAAUUUAAACAUACCUCAUCCCAAGCCCCUCAUACACAUGAUAAUAUCAAGUUACUCCCCAUACCUGGAUUUCAAGAAGAUCUGAAUGCUCUAGAAUUAUAGGUAAAGUCCACAACGCUCGCUCCUUGGUGACAGCAACCGCGGCUCCUCGCCACUGGUUCUAACUUGCACACUGGUUUUCACUUGUACACUAUUACUCUAGAAUAUAAGGGUUGCCUCUCUUCUUUUUUUUUUCGUUCACUUCGCUGCCAUCUGCGCCCCCCCCCCCUCCUCUGUUUACCCUAAUUAUAUCCUAUAAGCCUUCCCUAACCACCCUCUAAAACUGUCCAAAGAGUGCUCCUAAAAUAUAGAAGAUAUUUCUCCUGAUCACUAAUCCCACGAUUUCUCUCUCUUCAUAAAUGCAAAUAAAAUAUAUAGACACACCUCUGAUGCAAAUCUACCUGACUAAAAAAAUUAUUUUCUCUUACCUCAACAGCAUUUAAUAAGAAGCAAAUAAAACAUGCAUGGCUCUUUUUCUUUUUUCUCACAUUUAUGUGAAACACUUCAACCAAGUAUAAGAUAUUCUCAGUACCCCUUCCAUGCACAUACAUAUCAACCAAUUCAUCCAUUUUCAUCUAUUGACACGUAUUGAACAAUUAUAUAUAAACCUUCAAGCGCUUUCAGAAAAAUAUUAAACAAAAAUAAUAAUAUUAAUUAAUCUCUAC
rnacentral:lncRNA from 1 species